rfam:Myotis davidii contig12268, whole genome shotgun sequence.
GGCAGUUCUUGGGUGAUGCACAUCAAAUUGGGCUUCCUACUCUCUAUUUUGGGUGUGUCACCUGAGAACCACA